rnacentral:rRNA from 1 species
CAUCACUACGCUAGAUGCAUAUCAAUAAGCGGAGGAAAAGAAACUAACAAGGAUUCCCCUAGUAACGGCGAGUGAAGCGGGAAGAGCUCAAAUUUGAAAUCUUAAAGGGUUUCCCUUUACGAAUUGUAGUUUAAAGAAGUGUUUUCUGUUGGAGUUUCGGUAAAAGUUCUUUGGAAUAGGACAUCAUAGAGGGUGAGAAUCCCGUAUUUGACCGUUACUUUCCAGCUGUGUGAUACACUUUCAAAGAGUCGGAUUGUUUGGGAAUGCAGUCCAAAAUGGGUGGUAAAUUUCAUCUAAAGCUAAAUAUUGGCGAGAGACCGAUAGCGAACAAGUACCGUGAGGGAAAGAUGAAAAGAACUUUGAAAAGAGAGUUAAACAGUACGUGAAAUUGUCAAAAGGGAAGCGUUUGACACCAGUGUUGUUUUCUCGAAAAUCAAUUAAAAAUGAUGGGAUUUUGUGUUGUAUUGACUUUAUCAGCUUUCUGCACUUUUUUUCCUAUCUUUUUUAAUGCACUUUUCGUUUAACAAGUCAACAUCAAUUUCUUUUGUUGUAAAAGAGUCAUUGGAAGGUGGCUUUCUUUUCGGAGAAAGUGUUUAUAGCCUUUGGCUUCUGCAAUCGGAGAGAUUGAGGUCUGCAGCGUAGAUCCUUCGGGGUUAGGAUACGUUUGUGCUAAGUUAUAGCCUUUUCAUAGACAACUUGUUGACUAUGCUCUAGUCUUGUAGCUUACUCGCUUAUGCUAUUUUACCUACGCUUAGGAUGUGACACACGCGCGUGCUCG